UGUUUCAUUUCUCUUUAUUUCAGAGAUUUGAACAAUAAUGCUAUAAUGUCUAUCCAAGAAAAUGCUUUUUCUCAGACUCAUUUGAAAGAACUGAUUCUGAACACAAGCAGUUUGCUCUGUGACUGCCAUUUGAAGUGGCUACUUCAAUGGUUGGUUGAUAAUAACUUUCAACAUUCUGUGAAUGUAAGCUGUGCACACCCUGAAUGGCUAGCAGGGCAAAGCAUCCUGAAUGUGGAUCUGAAAGAUUUUGUCUGUGAUGAUUUCCUCAAGCCACAGAUAAGGACACAUCCUGAAACCAUAAUUGCUCUAAGAGGCAUGAAUGUGACUCUGACGUGCACUGCAGUGAGCAGCAGUGAUUCACCUAUGUCCACUGUGUGGCGCAAAGACAGUGAAAUCCUGUAUGACGUGGAUAUUGAGAAUUUUGUUCGUUAUCGGCAGCAAGCUGGAGAAGCUCUGGAAUAUACUAGUAUCUUACAUCUUUUCAACGUGAAUUUCACAGAUGAAGGAAAAUAUCAGUGUAUUGUUACUAAUCACUUUGGUUCUAAUUAUUCUCAGAAAGCCAAACUGACUGUAAAUGAGAUGCCAUCUUUUCUGAAAACGCCAAUGGAUCUGACUAUUCGCACUGGUGCCAUGGCCAGAUUAGAAUGUGCUGCAGAGGGACACCCUGCACCUCAGAUUUCCUGGCAGAAAGAUGGUGGUACUGACUUUCCUGCGGCUCGAGAAAGACGCAUGCACGUCAUGCCCGAGGAUGACGUCUUCUUUAUUGCCAAUGUGAAAAUAGAAGAUAUGGGAAUCUAUAGCUGCAUGGCACAAAAUACAGCAGGAGGUCUCUCAGCAAAUGCUUCCCUAACAGUGUUAGAGACACCCUCAUUUAUUAGACCCCUGGAGGAUAAGACAGUAACCCGAGGUGAAACGGCGGUGUUACAGUGCAUAGCUGGAGGGAGUCCUGCCCCUCGUCUCAACUGGACUAAAGAUGAUGGGCCUUUGCUGGUGACAGAACGACAUUUCUUUGCUGCAGCCAAUCAGCUUCUCAUCAUUGUAGAUGCCGGGCUAGAAGAUGCUGGGAAAUAUACCUGCAUUAUGUCUAACACCCUUGGGACAGAACGUGGCCACAUUUACCUAAAUGUCAUUUCAUCCCCCAACUGUGACUCUUCCCAGAGUAGCAUUGGUCAUGAAGAUGAUGGCUGGACCACAGUUGGCAUUGUCAUCAUUGUUGUGGUCUGCUGUGUUGUUGGCACUUCUUUGAUCUGGGUCAUUGUUAUUUACCACAUGAGAAGGAAAAAUGAAGACUAUAGUAUCACAAACACAGAGGAGCUCAAUCUGCCUGCAGACAUUCCCAGCUACUUGUCUUCCCAAGGAACGCUGUCUGAGCCACAGGAAGGCUACAGCAACUCUGAGGCAGGCAGUCAUCAGCAACUUAUGCCUCCUGCCAAUGGAUAUAUACACAAAGGCACUGAUGGUGGCACUGGUACCCGGGUGAUUUGCUCAGAUUGUUAUGACAAUGCCAACAUCUACUCCAGGACCCGAGAAUACUGUCCAUACACCUAUAUUGCUGAGGAGGACGUUCUUGAUCAGACACUGUCCAGCCUCAUGGUCCAAAUGCCUAAAGAGACAUAUUUAGCACAUCCUCCCCAGGAUACUACUGCCCUAGAGAGCCUGAUAUCAUCAGCCAACAGAGAGCCAUCUGCCUUUCCCACCAACCGUGAAAGGAUAAGUGAGAAGAAACUUCCCUCCACACAGAUGAGCGGUGAAACAUUGCAGCGGCCGGUGUGGAACAUAAACAGAGAACUAGGCCUGCCUCAUCCUCCUUUUUCCCAGCAGCCAGUCCAUGAGUCACCACAACUUCAUCAAAAUGAGGGCCUGGCAGGGAGAGAGCCAGACUGUUCUACUUCUUCCAUGUCCUGCCACAGGUUACAGGAUCAUGCUUUUGAUUUUAGUAGGACUCGGAACAUUCAAGAUGGUAGUGAGGGCACAUGAAACUCACUUGAGGAUGAAAUCUGGGUAGAGACUCAUUAAUUAAUUUUGCAUUUACUACCUCAGAGCUCAGAAGAAACUCCGAUGUCAGCAUUUGCUUUACUCUUUCUUUAUGAUUGCAUCUGACUGCACCAAGGUGGGCCAUGCGUUGUUUGGUCUUAUACCUGAUGAAGAAAUGGCAACAGCUGACAGAAAUGGGUACAGCUCAUCAAAAAUGUGCAGCACUGGCAGAGGGAAGAUACGGGGCAAAUGUGCUUCCUGAUGGUUCCAUGGGGAUGUGCCCUGGUGUGCAUCUGCCUGUCAGGAAGAGUCACAUUGCUGCUUAACAUGCUGGAUUGCCCUAGUCUUCAGAAUGGUCCUGAGAAAACAUCACUACUUUGAUGUUCUACUUUGCCUUCCAAGGAGCAAAAAUAACUUUGGAGCCUUCUGGGAAGUGUGCCUGGGAUUCUUCAGUGGUUUCAGGCAGAUAGUUGAGACUGGGGCUUUGAUAUUCAAGGUCUUUGGCAAGAAUCCCAGGCUUGACCAACUGGUAACCAGGUCAAAGGUUUUUGUAUUCUUGUGAAUUUUUUUUUUGUCCCUAUUGCCCAGGGAUGUCAUUGUAAAUAUAUGUGCAUUUAUAAAUAAUUUUUGUAUUCAUUGACCAUAUGUGUUGGCUGCAGUGUAAAUAUUUUUGAUAUGCCAAAAUUAUAUAUAAUAUCCAGUUAUAAUAUUGACAAGUAGCUUCUCAGAUCACAGAUUUUAAAUAACUCGAUUUAGUGAGAUCUAAAAAUUUUAUUUAAAGUAUAAAAAGGGUGGCUCACACCUGUAAUCCCAGCAUUUUGAGAGGCUAAGGUGGGAGGAUUGCUUGAGGCCAGGAAUUUGAGACCAGGCUGGGCAACAUGGUGAGACCCUGUCUCUGCAAAAAAUAAAUUAAAAAAACAGCUGGACAUUGUGGCAUGCUGCUGUAGUCCUAGCUACUUGGGAGGUUGAGGUGGGAAGGUCACUUGAGCCCGGGAAAUCAAGGCUGCAGUGAGCUGUGUGAAGCCACUGCACCCCAGCCUGGGUGACACGGCGAGGCCCUGGCUCAAAAAUAAAAUAAAUAAAAGUUUUAAAAACUUACUUGUUAAGAAGUGUAUCUACAGAAGCAGCUACUUAGUGAUUGUAUACACAUAAACACAGUCUUGGUGUAAUUAACCGCCUUCUUCAUGCCUAGAGGUUCAUACUUCUGGUCAUUUGCCAGCUGUUUAAAAGUGCUAGGUGAUACUCCCUUUCUAACAUAAAAAGCUUGUUCUUUCAGAGCCUGGUAGUCCUGUCACAGCUGUAUGCACCUAGAGGAAAACUUGUUUGGAAAUUCCUUUCAUUUCUUCCCCCUUUCCCUCCCUCCCUCUUUUUUACUGAAACAGAAAUUGAUUGAGGAAGGUUCAGUCAUUCCUUCAGGAACCAAUGAGUUAGAUCGGGUUGUUACUUUAUGUAUAAUGAACGCUUCAAAUGGCUGUUAUGACACAGUAUUGAAAUACCAGACUGAGUUUUAGUUGUUUCUAGUUGUGUUCACUUUGUGCUUUCUCUGAAUGGGAAUAUCUUCUUUCAGCAAAGUUAUUCAUUGACCAGGAAACCAAAGAUUGCUUCUUUUCCGAGUUUGUUUUGUUUUUAAUCUUUUACCAAUGCGCAGUAUAUCUUAAGAAGGGAAGAGUGCUCUUGGGAGUAGA
rnacentral:sRNA from 1 species